GCCUAAAGCGUCCGUAGCCGGCUUUGUAAGUUUUCGGUUAAAUCUAUAUGCUCAACAUAUAGGCUGCCGGGAAUACUGCAAAGCUAGGGAGUGGGAGAGGUAGACGGUACUCCGUAGGAAGGGGUAAAAUCCUUUGAUCUAUGGAUGACCACCUGUGGCGAAGGCGGUCUACCAGAACACGUCUGACGGUGAGGGAUGAAAGCUGGGGGAGCAAACCGGAUUAGAUACCCGGGUAGUCCCAGCUGUAAACGAUGCAAACUCAGUGAUGCAUUGGCUUGUGGCCAGUGCAGUGCCGCAGGGAAGCCGUUAAGUUUGCCGCCUGGGAAGUACGUACGCAAGUAUGAAACUUAAAGGAAUUGGCGGGGGAGCACCACAAGGGGUGAAGCCUGCGGUUUAAUUGGAGUCAACGCCAGAAAUCUUACCCGGAGAGACAGCAGGAUGAAGGUCAAGCUGAAGACUUUACCAGACAAGCUGAGAAGUGGUGCAUGGCCGUCGCCAGCUCGUGCCGUGAGGUGUCCUGUUAAGUCAGGUAACGAGCGAGAUCCUUGCCUCUAGUUGCUACCAUUACUCUCAGGAGUAGUGGAGCGAAUUAGCGGGACUGCCGUAGUUAAUACGGAGGAAGGAGAGGGCCACGGCAGGUCAGUAUGCCCCGAA
rnacentral:rRNA from 1 species